AUUGAACGCUGGCGGCAGGCCUAACACAUGCAAGUCGAACGAGUGGCGGACGGGUGAGUAAGGUCUUGGAAACUGCCUGAUGGAAGGGGAUAACUACUGGACACGGUAGCUAAUACCGCCUACCCACAGAUGGGCCCAGAUGGGAUUAGCUAGUUGGGGGGGUAACUGCUCACCAAGGCGACGAUCCCUAGCUGGUCUGAGAUGAUGACCAGCCACACUGGAACUGAGACACGGUCCAGACUCCUACGGGAGUCAGCAGUGGGGAAUAUUGCACAAUGGGCGCAAGCCUGAUGCAGCCAUGCCGCGUGUAUGAAGAAGGCCUUCGGGUUGUAAAGUACUUUCAGCGGGGAGGCGUUACCCGCAGAAGAAGCACCGGCUAACUCCGUGCCAGCAGCCGCGGUAAUAC
rnacentral:rRNA from 1 species